AUUUCCAGAAUACUUUCAAAAAUUAAUGAGGUAUUUACCUCUCAUUUUAUUCAUGAGAGGUAAAUACCUCAUGUAUCCAUAAAAAAAAAAUAUCGAUUUGGUCAUUUUUAAAAAAAAUUAUGGCAGUUUUAAGUAAAUAAAAUUGAAAAAAUGUCAAAAAUUAAGAUUUUUAAAUUUGUAAUUUUUGGACAUUUCCCCCAUUUACGAGGAACGAGGAAAUUUUUUCAACUUUUGUGAGUAAUGUCUUCGACUAGGUAGGAUUUGAGAUUUUUUGACGUAUCGUGUAAGAAAUCGGUUCGGUGAUAGCUGAGAAAAAGUGGUAACAGACACAAAAAAAAUACAUCAGAGUAAAAUUAAUACCUUCUCAGCUUUGCAUCGAAGCUAAAAUUAUUGUGAAAUUUCACAAUAGAGUCGCAUCAAAAUGUUUUUAAUGAUUUAUUUGUAAAAAUUACAAAAAAAUAUUGAAUAUAAAUUUUAUACUAUAUUUAUUAAAGUUUUAAACUAUUUACAGAUUUGCAUCUAAGCAUAGCGGUGUUUAUCACUGGCAGAUAUCAUAUACAGAAUGUUCAGUAAGGUAAAGGGAGAAUUGCUUUCUUUUUAUGCUAAUUCUGAACAUAUGGAUAAAUAACCGAAGUGCAUAUUUACGGCAUUUAAACAUGAACACAGCAUAUGCUUUAGCAAAGUCUGAUACACAUGUAAUUGAAUGGAUUGGUGCCAAGUAAGGUUGACCUAUGUGAUAACCAUCAGUAAGAAGAGUGUCUGUCUACCGGCUGUGGUAAUGGACGAGUUUGAGUUUUAAAUUGUAUUUGAUAUGAAUAAAAGUUAUGUUAGAGCAUAAGAAUUUUGUUGUAUUUAAUUCGAUUAUUAGUUAUAUGAUAAUAUCAUGUUAAUUAAAUUAUUACUUACCAUAUCCAGCCAAGCAUUUGUAACAACAAUUUGAUUUUUU